AAGACACCUAUUACUCCCACCUCUUCAUUUCUCUAGCCAAGAUUAAAUUGAGAUUUUAAAAAGCAAUUGAAAACCUAAAACUUCUCAUUUUUGCUCCAUGAAUACCGAUCACCAUCACCAUCACUUAGUUCAUCAUUUGUUUCAUGGAAUUUGAUGAUGUUAGAGGCCAAAUGAUCAUAAGACAAUGAGGAACCAAGGUGGAAAGUUAUGGUUUUUGGAGCAAAUUUUGGAGUUUUGAUGAUGAAUUCUUGAAGAAAUUGGUUUGGCCAAGAGGUUAAAUUAUCAAGCUCAAGACUCAACGAAGCGACUAUCGAUAAGGCUCGAGGCAAACGGAUCAAAAUAUCGUCAUGCUUAUUUGAAGAAUUUGGAUAGCAAGUGGGAUAGUAUGAUAUGAUUUGAAGAGUCAAGCUUCCGAAGUUUUAAUUCUCGGAAGUCAUUUGCACAAGAAGUGAAAGAAGGUUUUCAUUCUAGCGGUCCGCAGUAGUCUAGAUGUUUUUUUCUAUGUAUUUGUCUAGCGCAUUUUAACUCUGAUAUUUUUGUAAAAUGGGGUCACAUGUAUUUUGAUAUAUGAAAAAUGAUUUGAUUUGCGAAAAAUUUACACAGGAUUUUAGGCUUGCUACGGGUUUCGGAGCUACCACUCCCAUUCCCUAGCGCCGGUCGCGACUCAUAAAUUUGGGUCGUGACAUGAAGCAUAUGGAUG